GGCAGGCAGCAGCUGCGAAGGCUGGGCUCCUACCAGUAAGAGCACUACACUGUUGUGGUGAAACGAGAUGGUAUUAUGCAGUUUUAGAACAAAGUUUUAUUAAUCUGAAAGAAUAUAUCGGCUGCUGGAGUUUCCAGUAUUCAACAGGUCAAAUCUUAGCUAAAGACCUGAAACGAGAUGGAUCCGUUUUUGCCAAUAAGAGAAUAGUGUGCUGACGUUCUGUGUUUAGCCAAGCAGCUAGCUAGCUAACCAAGAAGACUGGUUCCUCCGACGAGCAAUGGAUUCCAAACACAGAUUCAACCACAAGACCAGGGACAUGGUGAACAUAUUUAUUAUUUAAACUUUGGAUGAUGUCUCAAUACACCCAGUCACUACAAAGAUACAGGCGUCCUUACUAACUCAGUUGCCAGAGAGGAAGGAAACCGCUCAGGGAUUUCACCAUGAAGCCAAUGGUGACUUUAAAACAUUUACAGAGUUUAAUGGCUGUAAUGGAUGUAUCAACAACAUUGUAGUUACUCCACAAUGCUAAUCUAAUUGGCAGAGUGAAAAGAAGGAAGCUUUUACCGAAUAAAAUAUUUAAAAACUCUCGUCCUGUUUGCAACAAGUCACUAAAGUAAUACUGCAAAAAUGUGGCAAAGCAAUUCAAUUUUAGUCCAAAGUGUUAUAUUUGGGGCAAAUUCAUUUACAUUUACAUUACAUUACAUUUAAGUCAUUUAGCAGACGCUCUUAUCCAGAGCGACUUACAAAUUGUGGGUCAAUACAAUACGUUACUGAGUAUCACGCUGUCACGAACCUCGCCGAAGAUGGUGCCUCUUCCUGUUCGGGCGGUGCUCGGCGGUCGUCGUCGCUGGCCUAUUAGCUGCCAUCGAUUCCCUUUCCGUUUGUUUUUGGUUAUUGGGUACACCUGUUUUGUAUUAGGGUUUGUUUUUAGGUUAUUUAAGGGCACUAGGUCUGCUGGGUAGUUGUGCGAGCUUGUUUCUUGUUACUCUGUGUUGGAUGGUGUUAUUUGUUCGUGUCUUAUUUCUCCUGACUAUUUUUGUCCUCUUGUUUGGACUGGCAACUUGUAUCCGCCCAGUGUAUUGGCGGGACCGUUUUUGUUGCGCUGGGGAAUAAAUUUGACAAACGACUGAA